GACGAACGCUGUCGUCGUGCUUAACACAUGCAAGUCGAACGGAAAGGCCCUGCUUGCAGGGUACUCGAGUGGCGAACGGGUGAGUAACACGUGGGUGAUCUGCCCUGCACUUCGGGAUAAGCCUGGGAAACUGGGUCUAAUACCGGAUAGGAGACAUUUUUAGUGUGAUGGUUGGAAAGUUUUUUCGGUGUAGGAUGAGCUCGCGGCCUAUCAGCUUGUUGGUGGGGUAAUGGCCUACCAAGGCGGCGACGGGUAGCCGGCCUGAGAGGGUGGACGGCCACAUUGGGACUGAGAUACGGCCCAGACUCCUACGGGAGGCAGCAGUGGGGAAUAUUGCACAAUGGGCGCAAGCCUGAUGCAGCGACGCCGCGUGGGGGAUGACGGCCUUCGGGUUGUAACCUCCUUUCGCUAGGGACGAAGCUUUUGUGACGGUACCUAGAUAAGAAGCACCGGCUAACUACGUG
rnacentral:rRNA from 1 species